rnacentral:rRNA from 1 species
AUACCCUGGUAGUCACGCCGUAAACGAUGUCAACUAGUUGUUCGUGUCAUUAACGAUGUGAGUAACGCAGCUAACGCACUAAGUUGUCCGCCUGGGGAGUACGGCCGCAAGGUUAAAACUCAAAUGAAUUGACGGGGGCCCGCACAAGCGGUGGAGCAUGUGGUUUAAUUCGAUGCAACGCGAAGAACCUUACCAUCCCUUGACAUCCAGUGAAUUAUCUAGAGAUAGAUAAGUGCCUUCGGGAACACUGAGACAGGUGCUGCAUGGCUGUCGUCAGCUCGUGUUGUGAGAUGUUGGGUUAAGUCCCGCACCGAGCGCACCCCUUAUCCUUAGUUGCCAGCACGUAAAGGUGGGAACUCUGGGGAGACUGCCGGUGAUAAACCGGAGGAAGGUGGGGACGACGUCAAGUCAUCAUGGCCCUUACGGGAUGGGCUACACACGUGCUACAAUGGCGCAUACAAUGGGAAGCUAGCUCGCGAGAGUACGCGGAUCUCAAAAAGUCCGUCGUAGUCCGGAUUGGAGUCUGCAACUCGACUCCAUGAAGUCGGAAUCGCUAGUAAUCGUGGAUCAGAAUGCCACGGUGAAUACGUUCCCGGGCCUUGUACACACCGCCCGUCACACCAUGGGAGUGGGCUGCACCAGAAGUAGAUAGCUUAACCUUCGGGAGGGCGUUUACCACGGUGUGGUUCAUGACUGGGGUGAAGUCGUAACAAGGUAACC